rnacentral:ncRNA from 1 species
CUCGGGGCGUGCCUUAUUUGAGGUACUGAGAAGAACCCGUAGAACCUGAUCCGGAUCAUGCCGGCGGAGGGAAAGCGG